AUUGAACGCUGUCGGCAGGCCUAACACAUGCAAGUCGAGCGAUCGGCGGACGGGUGAGUAAUGUCUGGGAAACUGCCUGAUGGAGGGGGAUACCUACUGGAAACGGUAGCUAAUACCGCAUACCAUCAGAUGUGCCCAGGUGGGAUUAGCUAGUAGGUGGGGUAACGGCUUACCUAGGCGACGAUCCCUAGCUGGUCUGAGAGGAUGACCAGCAACACUGGAACUGAGACACGGUCCAGACGCCUACGGGAGGCAGCAGUGGGGAAUAUUGCACAAUGGGCGCAAGCCUGAUGCAGCCAUGCCGCGUGUGUGAAGAAGGCCUUCGGGUUGUAAAGCACUUUCAGCGGGGAGGCGUUACCCGCAGAAGAAGCACCGGCUAACUCCGUGCCAGCAGCCGCGGUAAUAC
rnacentral:rRNA from 1 species